rnacentral:rRNA from 1 species
UACGAAGGGUGCAAGCGUUGUCCGGAAUUAUUGGGCGUAAAGAGCGUGUAGGCGGCCUCGUAAGUCCGCUGUGAAAGUCCAGGGCUCAACCCUGGAAAGCCGGUGGAUACUGCGAGGCUAGAGUCCGGAAGGGGCGAGUGGAAUUCCUGGUGUAGCGGUGAAAUGCGCAGAUAUCAGGAAGAACACCCGUGGCGAAGGCGGCUCUCUGGGACGGUACUGACGCUGAGACGCGAAAGCGUGGGGAGCGAACAGG